CCGAGCAUAACUGCCUCAUUGAGUUCCCCAUUCUCUCCGUCUGUCGUGCCGUCUCCGUCCUCCAAAACAUCGCCGCCACUGUCGUCACAAGAGCUUCUUGAUUUGAGCUUACGAUAGGUUUUGAAGUAUUUCUUUGUGGUAACAAGAGCUUCUUGAUUCAGGAUCUCCGUAAGUGAUUUCAAUGCUAGGGAACUCUUAUCCCAAUGCUGGUGGUCCACUUUUACAAAGCCAUGUUAUGGGUAUGUUGAAUGAUGUAAACUCGAGUGAUAAUUCUCCUUUUGACAUGAAUGACUUCCCUCAACUGACUAGUCGACCUAGGUCUGCUGGAGGGCCUCAAGGACAAUUGGGUGCAAACGAAGAUUUCCCAGCUUUGCCAGGAUUUAAAGGUGGCAAUGCUGAUUAUGCUAUGGAUAUGCACCAGAAAGAAUAGCUUCAUGACAAUGCUGUACCAAUGAUGCAAUCUUAACAUUUCUCGAUGGGGAGGCCUGCUGGUUUUAGCUUGGGGGAACAUAUUCAUCACAUCGUACAACAACAUGCUCCUUCGGUGAGUAGUGGUGGAGUCUCAUUUUCAUCUAUAAAUAACCAGGUUCUUCUCCAUCUACAUGGAUAAGAUAUUUUUCCAUCUACGCAUUCAACUUAUCAUUUGCAAGUGGACCUCCUGGGUCGGAUUAAGGCCAUUAAAUUCUCCAAAUACAGUCUCUAGUAUGGGUCAGUAUGACCAAAUCCUCCAGCAGUAUCAAUAGAACUAGAAGCAGUCGCAGUUCUACCUUCAAAUGUCAACCGUAAAUCAGUCGUUUUGGGAUCAGGGCAUGAAAGCUAUGCAAACUACACAAUCCACACCAUAUCCAUUUGGUUUGCUUGGCUUGUUAAGUGUGAUUAGGAUGAGUGAUCCAGACUUGACAUCUCUUGCACUUGGAAUUGAUCUUACUACACUUGGAUUAAAUUUGAAUUCAUCUGAAAAUCUACACAAGACAUUUGGGUCUCCAUGGUCCGAUGAACCUACAAAGGGUGAUCUAGAGUUUAAUGUGCCACAAUUUUAUUACGCAAAGC